GGUUCGUAUUUUUUCUGAAUUAAGGUCCCAUGAGGUCCACCGGAAGGGGAGGGAUUUCGCCUCUCUAUAACCCCUCUGUGUGCAUCAUUUCCUGUCCCAGAGAUAUUAUGUGGGGAUCCUCCUAUACUGCCCCAUACUGGGCAAGUGUGGAAUGGCAGCUCCACCCCUGGAAGCACAGUGACCUACUACUGUAAAAUAGGAUUUUAUCACAAUGAAGGAAAUAACAUAUCAUUGUGCACAGUUAAUGGUUACUGGACAACACCAAACAUCUCAUGCAAAGAGGUUCACUGUGGUGUGCCCCAACCCAUCUCACAUUCAAUCAUGCUGUGGGAUAAAAUCUCCACUGUGGGCUCUCAGGUUGUUUAUCAGUGUAACUCUGGAUAUCGCAGUGUUGGAGAGGGAAAUGUAUCAGUUUGUACUGCCAGUGGAGAAUGGGAUGAAGCCUCUCUGCUCUGUCAAGAAAUCUAUUGUCAAGAGCCUGUUUUUAAACCUCAUGCUAAAAUGCUUUGGGACGGCACAUCACACAUUGGCAGUGUGGUGUAUUACCAAUGUCAGGAAGGAUAUGACACCAGGAGCCUGAGAAACUACUCAGUAUGUGGAGAGAAUGGACUGUGGGAGGAUAUUGAUCUAUGGUGUGAAGGUGCAACGUUUGAUG